UACGGGGGGGGCAAGCGUUGUUCGGAAUUACUGGGCGUAAAGGGCUCGUAGGUGGCCCCAUAAGUCAGACGUGAAAUCCCUCGGCUCAACCGAGGAACUGCGUCUGAGACUGCGGGGCUUGAAUCCGGGAGAGGGAUGCGGAAUUCCAGGUGUAGCGGUGAAAUGCGUAGAUAUCGGGAGGAACACCAGUGGCGAAGGCGGCCAUCUGGACCGGUUCUGACGCUGAGGCGCGAAAGCGUGGGGAGCAAACAGG
rnacentral:rRNA from 1 species